rnacentral:snRNA from 1 species
GGACAUGAGAGUGAUCCACCAAUCACCAGGGUGGAUUCUACUGAUCUGUCUGGCUAGGUGGUUGUCCCAUUUCUCUCUCUUCACUCCAUGUGCUUCCCUCCGGAGGCUGUGCACUCAGUGGAAUGGGACUUCCUUCCCCGAUAGGAUAGGACAGUUCUUCAGUCAAGGGUAUAUGAGUAGCUGUGCUCUCCUGUGAGAACCUCCAAACAGCUCUCAAGGUCCAUUUGUAGGAGAAUGUAGGGUAGUCAAACUUCCAAGACUCCGGACACAUUCAAAUAAGGCGCUGCAUGUGGCAGUGUGCCUUUCUUA